rnacentral:tRNA from 1 species
GCGGGGCCGUAACGCAGAGGCAGACGUACCGGACUCCCAAUCCGGAAUUUACGCUGGUUCGAAUCCAGCCGCCCCGCCCCA